rnacentral:rRNA from 1 species
CCUACGGGAGGCAGCAGUGGGGAAUAUUGGACAAUGGACGCAAGUCUGAUCCAGCGACGCCGCGUGGGUGAUGAAGGCCUUCGGGUUGUAAAGCCCUGUGGGCAGGGAAGAAAACGGUCUGGAAUAAUAAGACAGAUCCUUGACGGUACCUGCUCAGAAAGCACCGGCUAACUCUGUGCCAGCAGCCGCGGUAAGACAGAGGGUGCAAACGUUGCUCGGAAUUACUGGGCGUAAAGCGCGUGUAGGUGGAUUGGUGUGUCAGAUGUGAAAUCCCUGGGCUCAACCCAGGAACUGCACCUGAAACUACCAGUCUUGAGUGGUGGAGAGGGAAGUGGAAUUCCUGGUGUAGAGGUGAAAUUCGUAGAUAUCAGGAGGAACACCAGUGGCGAAGGCGGCUUCCUGGACACCAACUGACGCUGAGACGCGAAAGCGUGGGGAGC